UACGGAGGGUGCAAGCGUUAUCCGGAUUCACUGGGUUUAAAGGGCGCGCAGGCGGGCUGGUAAGUCAGUGGUGAAAGCCUUGAGCUUAACUCGAGAACUGCCAUUGAUACUAUCAGUCUUGAAUAUUGUUGAGGUUUGCGGAAUGGGUCAUGUAGCGGUGAAAUGCAUAGAUAUGACCCGGAACACCUAUUGCGAAGGCAGCAGGCUAAACAAAGAUUGACGCUGAGGCUCGAAAGCGUGGGGAGCAAACAGG
rnacentral:rRNA from 1 species